CCUACGGGGGGCUGCAGUGGGGAAUAUUGGACAAUGGGCGAAAGCCUGAUCCAGCCAUGCCGCGUGUGUGAAGAAGGCCUUCGGGUUGUAAAGCACUUUCAGUGGGGAAGAAAGCCUUGGGGCUAAUACCCUCGAGGAAGGACAUCACCCACAGAAGAAGCACCGGCUAACUCCGUGCCAGCAGCCGCGGUAAUACGGAGGGUGCGAGCGUUAAUCGGAAUUACUGGGCGUAAAGCGCGCGUAGGCGGUCUGAUAAGCCGGUUGUGAAAGCCCCGGGCUCAACCUGGGAACGGCAUCCGGAACUGUCAGGCUAGAGUGCAGGAGAGGAAGGUAGAAGUCCCGGUGUAGCGGUGAAAUGCGUAGAGAUCGGGAGGAAUACCAGUGGCGAAGGCGGCCUUCUGGACUGACACUGACGCUGAGGUGCGAAAGCGUGGGUAGCAAACAGGAUUAGAUACCCGUGUAGUC
rnacentral:rRNA from 1 species